UGCGCUGUUAGCUCAGUUGGAUAGAGCAACGUUCUUCUAAAGCGUGGGUCACUGGUUCGAAUCCAGUACGGCGCACCAC
rnacentral:tRNA from 1 species